UCCCGUGUGGCUCAGUUGGUAGAGCAUGGUGUUUGCAACGCCAGGGUUGUAGGUUCGAUUCCCACGGGGC
rnacentral:tRNA from 1 species